UACGAAGGGGGCGAGCGUUGUUCGGAAUCACUGGGCGUAAAGGGCUCAUAGGCGGCCAACUAAGUCGGAUGUGAAAUCCCCAGGCUUAACCUGGGAACUGCAUCCGAUACUGGAUGGCUUGAAUCCGGGAGAGGGAUGCAGAAUUCCAGGUGUAGACGGUGAAAUGCGUAGAUAUCUGGAGGAACACCGAUGGCGAAGGCAGGUCUCUGGGCAUUAACUGGACGA
rnacentral:rRNA from 1 species